ensembl:snRNA U6 U6 spliceosomal RNA
GUGCACGCUUAGACAGCACGUAUACUAAAGUUGGAAUGAGGCAGAGAUUAGCAUGAGCCAUGUGCAAAGGCGAUGUGCAAAUUUGUGAACUAUUCCAUGUCUUU